GGGCGCGUAGUUCAGCGGUAGAACGCUGUCCUGAUAAGACAGAAGUGGUAGGUCCGACUCCUACCGCGCCCA
rnacentral:tRNA from 1 species